rnacentral:rRNA from 1 species
UGAGGAAUAUUGGUCAAUGGGCGCAAGCCUGAACCAGCCAUGCCGCGUGCAGGAUGACGGUCCUAUGGAUUGUAAACUGCUUUUGUACGGGAAGAAACACCGGUUCGUGAACCGGCUUGACGGUACCGUAAGAAUAAGGAUCGGCUAACUCCGUGCCAGCAGCCGCGGUAAUACGGAGGAUCCAAGCGUUAUCCGGAAUCAUUGGGUUUAAAGGGUCCGUAGGCGGGCUAGUAAGUCAGUGGUGAAAUCCGGUCGCUUAACGAUCGAACUGCCAUUGAUACUGCUGGCCUUGAAUUACUAGGAAGUAACUAGAAUAUGUAGUGUAGCGGUGAAAUGCUUAGAGAUUACAUGGAAUACCAAUUGCGAAGGCAGGUUACUACUAGUGGAUUGACGCUGAUGGACGAAAGCGUGGGUAGCGAACA